rnacentral:rRNA from 1 species
AUUGAACGCUGGCGGCAGGCUUAACACAUGCAAGUCGAGCGGAGAUGAGGUGCUUGCACCUUAUCUUAGCGGCGGACGGGUGAGUAAUGCUUAGGAAUCUGCCUAUUAGUGGGGGACAACAUUCCGAAAGGAAUGCUAAUACCGCAUACGCCCUACGGGGGAAAGCAGGGGAUCUUCGGACCUUGCGCUAAUAGAUGAGCCUAAGUCGGAUUAGCUAGUUGGUGGGGUAAAGGCCUACAACGGCGACGAUCUGUAGCGGGUCUGAGAGGAUGAUCCGCCAACCUGGGGCUGAGCCACGGCCCAGACUCCUUCGGGAGGCAGCAGUGGGUAAUAUUCGACGAUGGGCGAAAGCCUGAUCCGGCCAUGCCGCGUGUCUGAAGCAGGCCUUCGGGUUGUAAAGGACUUUUCUCGGGGAGGAAAUCCCCAGCGUUAAUACCGCUGUGGGAUGACAGUACCUGAAGAAUAAGCACCGGCUAACUACGUGCCAGCCGCCGCCGUAAAAC